GACGAACGCUGGCGGCGUGCUUAACACAUGCCAGUCGAACGGAAAGGCCCUGCUUUUGUGGGGUGCUCGAGUGGCGAACGGGUGAGUAACACGUGAGUAACCUGCCCUUGACUUUGGGAUAACUUCAGGAAACUGGGGCUAUUACCGGAUAGGAGCUCCUGCUGAAUGGUGGGGGUUGGAAAGUUUCGGCGGUUGGGGAUGGCCUCGGGGCUUUUCCGCUUGUUGGUGGGGUAGUGGCUUACCAAGGCUUUGAAGGGUAGCCGGCCUGAGAGGGUGGCCGGCCACAUUGGGACUGAGAUACGGCCCAGACGCCUACUGGGGGCAGCAGUGGGGAAUAUGGCACAGUGGGCGGAAGCCUGAGGCAGCAACGCCGCGUUCGGGAUGACGGCCUUCGGGCUGUAAACCGCUUUCGCCUGUGACGAAGCGUGAGUGACGGUAAUGGGUAAAGAAGCACCGGCUAACUACGUG
rnacentral:rRNA from 1 species